rnacentral:rRNA from 1 species
GAGUUUGAUCCUGGCUCAGAACGAACGGUGACGGCGUGCUUACUACAUGCAAGUCGAGCGGACAGCAGGGGCAACUUUGCUGUGAGCGGCGAACGGGUGACUAAUAUAUAGACAACUUGCCCUUAAGUGGGGGAUAACAGCCCGAAAGGGUUGCUAAUACCGCAUACAGUUGUGCAUGCGCCUGUGUGUACAAUGAAAGUUGGGGACCGCAAGGCCUAACGCUUUAGGAGAGGUUUAUAGCCUAUUAGCUAGUUGGCGGGGUAAUGGCCCACCAAGGCGAUGAUGGGUAGCCGGCCUGAGAGGGUGAACGGCCACAUGGACACUGAGACACGGGUCCAACUUCUACGGAAGGCAGCAGUAGGGAAUAUUGGGCAAUGGGCGAAAGCCUGACCCAGCGACGCCGUGUGGAGGAUGACGGCCUUCGGGUUGUAAACUCCUUACACAGAUCAAGAAGAGAGUGUACGCAAAUAGCGUGUACUUUCCGACGAGUCUGGGAUGAAGUGAUUGCUAACUCUGUGCCAGCAGCAGCGGUAAUACAGGGAUCACAACCGUUGUUCGGAAUCACUGGGCUUAAAGAGCACGUAGGCGGUGGGCUAAGUUGGCUGUGAAAGGUUACGUUUCAAGCGUAAGAAGUCAGCCAAGACUGGCUUGCUUGAGGUUGGUAGGGGAGAGUAGAAUUCCUGGUGGAGCGGUGAAAUGCGUUGAUAUCAGGAGGAAUGCCGGAGGCAAAGGCGACUCUCUGGGCCAUACCUGACGCUGAGGUGCGAAAGCUAGGGGAGCAAACGGGAUUAGAUACCCCGGUAGUCCUAGCCGUAAACGGUGGGUACUAAGUAGGGGACGAUAGUUCCCUGCCGUAGCAAAAGUGUUAAGUACCCCGCCUGGGGAGUAUAGUCACAAGGCCGAAACUCAAAGGAAUUGACGGGGGCUCGCACAAGCGGUGGAGCAUGUGGUUUAAUUCGAUGCAACGCGAAGAACCUUACCUGGACUUGACAUGCUAGGAUUAGGUUAUCGAAAGGUAACUGACACUCCGCAAGGAGAGGAACUAGCACAGGUGUUGCAUGGCUGUCGUCAGUUCGUGCCGUGAGGUGUUGGGUUAAGUCCCAUAACGAGCGAAACCUUUGUCCUUAGUUACCAUCGGGUAAAGCCGGGGACUCUAAGGAGACUGCAGGCGUUAAGCCUGAGGAAGGUGGAGACGACGUCAAGUCAUCAUGGCCUUUAUGUCCAGGGCUACACACGUGCUACAAUGGGUGUUACAAAGGGAAGCUAAACCGCAAGGCGGAGCAAACCCCAAAAAAGCACCCCCAGUUCAGAUUGAGGGCUGAAACCCGCCCCCAUGAAGUCGGAAUCGCUAGUAAUCGUGGGUCAUCUACACCACGGUGAAUAUGUUCCCGAGCCUUGUACACACCGCCCGUCAAGCCACCGAAGCAGGGGCAGCCUGAAGUCACUGACCUAACCAGCAAUGGAAGGAGGUGCCCAAGGAAGCUUCUGUGACGGGGACUAAGUCGUAACAAGGUA